CCUACGGGUGGCAGCAGUGGGGAAUAUUGGGCAAUGGAGGCAACUCUGACCCAGCAACGCCGCGUGAAUGAUGAAGGUCUUCGGAUUGUAAAGUUCUGUGAGGGGGGAUGAACACAAUGACGGUACCCCAAUAGCAAGCCACGGCUAACUACGUGCCAGCAGCCGCGGUAAUACGGAGGAGGCAAGCGUGAUCCGGCAUGACUGGGCGCAAAGGGUGGGGAGGUGGUUUAGUAAGUUGGCGGUGUAAUUCCGGGGUGCAACCUCGGCGCUAUCGCCAAAAAUAUGAAACUAGAGUGCAGGAGGGGUAAGUGGAAUUGCUGGUGGAGCGGUGGAAUGCGUAGAUAUUAGGAGGAACAUCAGGGGCGAAGGCGACUUACUGGACUGUAACUGACGCUGAGGCACGAAAGCGUGGGGAGCAAACAGGAUUAGAUACCCGGGUAGUC
rnacentral:rRNA from 1 species